rnacentral:lncRNA from 1 species
CGAUAUGUGAAUGCAUCUCAUAAAUGCCCUGCUCUCAGCUGCUGAACAUUCUCCUGCUGAAAGGCAGGGAGCUAAUUAGCACUGCCACCUCGACAGCGUCUGUACCAGUCACCCCUGGAUGCAUGCUAGAACACCUUUGAACAAUAGAUGACAGUCUGCAGAGAGCACAGAGCUCCCGGAGAACAUAAAAACGCAAUGGAACAGAAUGAAGGGAUGCAAGUCACAAUUGUCUCAACUGCAAGUUGGCCAAAGUAAACAUUACCCCAAAGUGCUCCCAAAGCUUGCUGGCACAUAAACAUGAAUGGAUGAACAAUGUAGAAUUCACUCAAGAAAUUUCAAGGAGAGAGAGGAGGAGAUUUACAUCACACAGCAAACAACCUAAUAAAUCUGUUAAACGCCA